UGGGUUUGUUCUAGGUAUGGUCCCAGGGAUCCCAGAUCAAACCAGGCCCCUGGGCCUAUCCUAGAACCAACCUA
ncrna:Cricetulus griseus (Chinese hamster) microRNA cgr-mir-331 precursor